rnacentral:rRNA from 1 species
CGGACGGGUGAGUAACGCGUGAGAAUCUACCCUUAGGAGGGGAAUAACAGCUGGAAACGGCUGCUAAGACCCCAUAUGCCGAGAGGUGAAAAAGAUUUCUGCCUAAGGAAGAGCUCGCGGCUGAUUAGCUAGUUGGUAGGAUAAAAGACUACCAAGGCAACGAUCAGUAGCUGGUUUGAGAGGACGAUCAGCCACACUGGGACUGAGACACGGCCCAGACUCCUACGGGAGGCAGCAGUGGGGAAUAUUCCGCAAUGGGGGCAACCCUGACGGAGCAAUACCGCGUGGGGGAGGACGGCCUUUGGGUUGUAAACCCCUUUUCUCAGGGAAGAACACAAUGACGGUACCUGAGGAAUCAGCCUCGGCUAACUCCGUGCCAGCAGCCGCGGUAAGACGGAGGAGGCAAGCGUUAUCCGGAAUUAUUGGGCGUAAAGCGUCCGCAGGUGGCCUAUCAAGUCUGCUGUUAAAGACUGAGGCUUAACCUCAGAAAAGCAGUGGAAACUGACAAGCUAGAGCAUGGUAGGGGUAAAGGGAAUUCCCAGUGUAGCGGUGAAAUGCGUAGAUAUUGGGAAGAACACCUGUGGCGAAAGCGCUUUACUGGACCAUUGCUGACACUGAGAGACGAAAGCUAGGGUAGCAAAUGGGAUUAGAUACCCCAGUAGUC